rnacentral:rRNA from 1 species
GAUGAAUGCUGGCGGCGUGCCUAAUACAUGCAAGUCGAGCGGUAACAGGUUCUCACUGUUUACUUCUCUCGGUUCGGGACAGGACGCGGGGAUUUUCCAAAGGAAAAUCAGCCGCAUCUUUAGCGAAAAGAGGAAUGAGGAGUAAAGAGUGAGAAUGCUGACGAGCGGCGGACGGCUGAGUAACGCGUAGGAACAUGCCCCAAAGUGAGGGAUAACGCACCGAAAGGUGUGCUAAUACCGCAUAUGGUCUUCGGAUUAAAGGAUUUAUCCGCUUUGGGAGUGGCCUGCGUACGAUUAGAUUGUUGGUGAGGUAACGGCUCACCAAGUCGACGAUCGUUAACUGGUCUGAGAGGAUGAUCAGUCAGACUGGAACUGAGACACGGUCCAGACUCCUACGGGAGGCAGCAGUAAGGAAUCUUCCACAAUGGGCGAAAGCCUGAUGGAGCAACGCCGCGUGCAGGAUGAAGGCCCUCGGGUCGUAAACUGCUUUAUGAGUGAAGAA